rnacentral:tRNA from 1 species
GGAAUAUAGCUCAGUUGGUUGAGUGCUUGCCUCACAAUGCAAAAGGCCCUGGGUUCUAUCCCCAGCACACCA